ACCUGGGUGGCUCAGUUGGUUGAGCAUCUGACUUCUGCUCAGGUCAUGAACUCCAGGUUUGUGAGUUUGAGUCUCACAUCGGGCU
rnacentral:tRNA from 1 species